rnacentral:rRNA from 1 species
UGUGGUUUAAUUCGAUGAUACGCGAGGAACCGUUACCUGGGCUCAAAUGUAUGUUGACGUAUUCUGAAAGGGAUACUUCUUCGGACAAUAUACAAGGUGCUGCAUGGUUGUCGUCAGCUCGUGCCGUGAGGUGUCGGGUUAAGUCCCAUAACGAGCGCAACCCCUACCUUAGUUGCCAUCAGGUUAAGCUGGGGACUCUAAAGGAACUGCCUACGCAAGUAGUGAGGAAGGCGGGGAUGACGUCAAAUCAGCACGGCCCUUACGUCCAGGGCUACACACGUGCUACAAUGGCCGAUACAGAGGGCAGCUACCUGGUGACAGGAUGCAAAUCUCCAAAGUCGGUCUCAGUUCGGAUCGGAGUCUGCAACCCGACCCCGUGAAGUUGGAUUCGCUAGUAAUCGCGCAUCAGCCAUGGCGCGGUGAAUACGUUCCCGGGCCUU